rnacentral:rRNA from 1 species
GACGAACCGUGCGAACGUUAUUCGGAAUCACUGGGCUUAAAGGGCGCGUAGGCGGGCACAAAAGUCAGAGGUGAAAGCCCCCAGCUCAACCGGGGAAGUGCCUUUGAUACUGUGUGUCUCGAGGGGGAUAGGGGCGUGCGGAACUUCCGGUGGAGCGGUGAAAUGCGUAGAUAUCGGAAGGAACACCGGUGGCGAAAGCGGCGCGCUGGAUCCCUUCUGACGCUGAGGCGCGAAAGCCAGGGGAGCGAACGGG